GCCCAGCCUAGUGCUUCAAUUUUUAACUGCAGAAGAUAUGAUUCAGUUGAGUUUAUUUUUUUUUUUUAAGAAAAAAAGUAAAUGCAGAAUUGGGGGGAUUAACAUGGGCAUGUUGCCUAUGUUAGAAUGAUUAAGUUAAACCUCUUAAUUUUUAUUUGUCCAAGGCAGACAUGAUUCAAGGACGACGUACUACCAAAACAACUCCUCCGGCUGCAGAAACCAUGCUGCUGCAGGUAUGACAGGCAAUAAGCAGGUGAAGAGCCAAUGGAAAAGUGUUCAAAAACACCUGCGUUAGCUAACAGGCUUUUGAAUGUAUUGCUGUGGUCCACAGAGUAGGCUGGAGAAGGCAGCGGAGAUGCUAUAUCAACUACUGCAGCCCUAAAACAAGGUUGGUGUCUCUGUGGACUUUAAAAUUGUUCCUAUGCAGCUUAUUUUAUUUUUGUUUAAUCAAAUAAAUAAGAGGGUUUUUCCAUGGCAAAAAAAAAAAAAAACAAUAAUAGUUGGAGAUUUCCGUACCCCACUUUCAAUAAUACAUAGAACAACUAGACAGAAGAUCAACAAGGAAAUAGAAUAUUUGAACAAUACAAACCAGCCAGACCUAAUACAUCUAUAGUAUACUCCAUGAGCAACAACAGAAUAUAUAUUCUUCUCAAGAGCACAUGGAACAUUCUCCAAGGUAGAUAAUCUAUUAUUCCAUAAAACAAGUCUCAAUGCAUUUAAAAGGACUGAAAUCAUACAAAGUAUAUUCCAUAGUCACAAUGGAAUAAAAUUAGAAAUUAAUAACAGAAGGAAGUUGGAGAAAUUAACAAAUGUGUGGAAUUUAAACAACAGACUCCUGAAUAACCAGUGAUCAGAGAAUAAAUCACAAGAGAAAUUUAAAAAUACUUUGAGAUAGGCCAGGUGCGGUGGCUCAUGCCUGUAAUCCCAGCACUUUGGGAGGCUGACGCGGGUGGAUCACCUGAGGUCAGGAGUUCAAGACCAACCUAGCCAAGAUGGUGAAACCCUGUCUCUACUAAAAAUACAAAAAUUAGCCAGGCAUGGUGGUGGGCACCUGUAAUUCCAGCUACUCGGGAGGCUGAGGCAGAGAAUUGUUUGAACCCGGGGAGCAGAGGUUGCAGUGAGCUGUGAUCAUGCCACUACACUCUAGCCUGGGCGACAGAGUGAGACUCUAUCUCAAAAAAAAAAAAAAAAAAGAAAAAAUACUUCAAGAUAAGUGAAAAUGAAAAUAUACUAAAACUUAUGUAAGGCAGUGAAAGCAGUAUUUAGAGGGAGAUUUAUAGCUGUAAACACCUAUCACAAAAAAGAAGAAACACAUUAUGGAAAACAGUAUGAAGAUUUCUUAAAAAGUUAAAAAUAGAACUACCAGAUGAUCCAGCAAUCCCACUUCUGGGUAUAUAGCCAAAGGAAAUGAAAUCAGUAUGUUGAAGAGAUAUCUACAAUCCUAUGUUCACUGAAGCAUUAUUCACAAUAGGCAAGAUAUGGAAUCAACCUAAGUAUCCACCAGUAAAGGAAUGGAUAAAGAAAGUGUGGCAUAUUUAUAUAAUGGAAUGCUACUCAGCCAUUUAAAAGAAGGAAAUACUGUCAUUUGUAUUGGAUGAAUUUGGAGGACAUCAUGUUAAGUGAAACAAGCUAGGCACAGAAAGACAAAUACUAUAAGAUCUCAUUUAUAUGUAGAGUCUAAAAAUAAGUCAUACUCAAGAUACAGAGAGUAGAAUGUUCACUGCCAGAGGCUGGGAGGAAUGGGGAGAUGUUGGUCAAAGGGUACAAAGUUUUAGUUAGAACAGAUGAAUUAGUUCUGUGGAUCUAUUACAUAGCAUGGCAAUAUACUUAAUAUGUAUUGUAUACCGGGGAAAAUAAGAAUAUAGUUUUUUUUAACAAGAAAGAUUUCAUGCCAGGCACUGUGGCAUGUGGCUGUAAUUCCAGCUACUCCAGAGGCUGAGCUAGAAGAUCACUUCAGCCUAGAAAUUCGAUACUAUCUUGGAUAAUAUAACAAAAUCCAUUGAAGAAGGAAGAAGGAGGAAGGAGGAAGCAGGAAAGAGGAAGGAGGAAGGAAGAAGAAGGAGAAGGAGAUGGAGACAGAGAUGGAGAUGACAAAGACGAAGAUGAAGAUGAAGAAAAAGAAGAAAGAUUUCAAAUCAAUAACCUAGGCUUCCAUGUUGAGAAACUAGAAAAAGAAGAGCAAAUUAAAUCCCAAAACAAAUAGAAAGAAGAAAAUAAUAAAGACUAGAGUGUAAAUAAAUGAAAUAGAGUAUAGGAAAACAAUAGGGAAAAAUCAAUAAGAACAAAAGUUGGUUCUUUUAAAAGAUUAACAAAAUUGAUAAACCUCUAGCUAUGCUGAUUAGUGAAAGAGAGACUCAAAUUACUAAAAUUAGGAAGAAAAGAAGGGACAUUAGUACCAACCUUACAGAAAUAAAAAUGGAUUACAAGGCAAUGCUAUCAAUAGGUAUAUGCCAACAAAUUAGAUAAAAUAGAUGAAAGGGAUACAUUCCUAGAAAGGCACAAAUUACAGAAACUGACUGAAGAAGGAAUAGAAAACUGAACAGAUGUAUAAAAAGUAAAUAGAUUAAAUUAGCCAUUUAAAAAACUCUCACAAAGAAACACCAGAUGGGUUCACUGGUGAAUUCUAUCAAUAUUUAAAGAAAAAUUACACCAAUACUUUAAGCUCUUCCAAAAAAUAGAACGGGAGGGUACGCUUCUCAAUUCAUUCUAUGAGGUCAGUAUUACCCUGAUAACCAUAAUCAAAGACAUCACAAAGAAAGAAAACUACAAACCAAUAGCCUUUAUGAAUAUGCAGUUGACCCUUGACCAACAUGGGUUUGAACUGUGCAGGUCCACUUAUAGGCAGAUUUUCUUCCACCUCUGCCACCCCUGAGACAGCAAGGCCAACCCCUUCUCUUCCUCUUUCUCCCCAGCCUACUCAACAUGAAGAUGACAAAGACCUUUAUGAUUAUCUAUUUGUACUUAAUAAAUAAUAAAUCCAUUUUCUCUGCCAUAUGACUUUCUUAAUAACAUUUUCUUUGCUCUAGCUUACUUUAUUGUAAGAAUAUAGUAUAUAAUACAUAUAACAUACAAAAUAUGUGUCAAUCAACUGUUUAUGUUAUCAGUAAGGCUUCUGGUUAACAGUACACUAUUAGUAGUUAAGUUUUUAAAUUUUUUACUCAAGUAAAUCUAGCCACAGUUAAGUUUUGAGGGGGUCAAAAGUUAUACAUGGAUUUUCAACAGUGUGGGGGUUUGGCAUCCCAACCCCCAAGUUUUUCAAGUGUCAGGUAUAGAUGCAACCAUCCUCAAUAAAAUACUAGCACACUGAGGCCAGGCGUGGUGGCUCAUGCCUGUAAUGCCAGCACUUUGGGAGGCUGAAGCAGGUGGAUCACCUGAGGUUAGGAGUUCAAGACCAGCCUAGCCAAGAUGGUGAAACCCCAUCUCUACUAAAAAUACAAAAAUUAGCUGGGCAUGGUGGUGGGUGCCUGUAAUCCCAGCUACUAGGGAGGCUAAGGCAGGGAGUUGCUUGAAUCCAAGAGGCAGAGUGAGCCAAGAUCGUGCCACUGCACUUCAACCUGGGCAACAGAGUGAGACUCCAUCUCAAAAAAAAAAAAAAAAUACUAGCACACUGACUGAAUCUAACAGCAUAAAAAAAGGAUUAUACACCAAGACCAGGUGGGAUUUAUCCCAGGAAUGCAAGGUUGGUUCAACAUCCAAAAGCAAUCAAUGUAACACCCCAUAUUGAUCAUGUAAAAGACAAAAACACAUGAUUAUCUCAGAUGAAGAAAAAAAAGUGACAAAAUCCAACACCUUUUCAUGAUUAAAAAAAAGCACUCAACAAAGCAGGAUAAAAUGGGAACUUCCUCAAUCUGAUAAACAGUAUCUACAAAAAACCCACAGCUAACAUCAUACUUAAUGGUUAAAAACUGAAAGUUUUUCCCAUAACAUCAAGAACUAGAUAAAAAUGUCACUCUCACCAUUUACUUUCAAGGUUGUACUGGAUUUGCUAGCCAGGGCAAUUAGGCAAGAAAAAGAAAUAAAGGGAAUCUAAUUUGGAAAGGAAAAAGUAAAACUAUCUCUUUAUGAUAUGAUCUUAUAUUUAGAAAGUCCUAAGGAAUCUACAACUAAGCCAUUAGAACUAAUAAACAAGUUCAGCAGUGUUGCAGGAAAAAAAUAUGAAAGUCAUUUGUAUUUCUGUACACUAGUGAAGAACAAACCAAAAAUGGCACAGGCCUGUAGUCUCAGCUACUUGGCAGGCUGAGGUCAGAGAAUAGCUUGAGCCCAGGAAUUUGAGACCAGCUGGGCAAUAUAGCAAGAACCCAUCUCUAAAAUAAAAUAAAAUAAAAUAAAAUAAAAUAAAAUAAAAUAAAAUAAAAUAAAACGACAGUGUGGUAAUGGCAUAAGGAUAGACAUAUAGUGCAAUGGAACAGAAUUGGGCGCCCAGAAACAAAUCUUCACAUUCAUGGUCAAAUGAAUUUUGGCAAGGGUGCCUAGACACUUCAAUGGAGGAAAGAAUUGUCUUUUCAACAACUGAUGCCAAGACAACUGAAUACUGUAUUCACAUUAAAAAAAAUACAAAGCUGGAUCCUCUACCUCACAUCAUAUACAAAAAUUAAUUCCAAUGGAUCACAGACAUGAAUGUAAGAGCUAAAGCUAUAAAACUCUUAGAAGAAAACAUACAUCUAAAUCUUCAUGACCUUAUAUUAGGCAUUGGUGUCUUAUAUGGGACAAUAAAAUACAAGCAACAACAGAAAAAAACAGACCAAUUUAACAUCAUUAAAAUUAAAAACUGUUGUGCUUCAAAGGACACCAUCAAGAAAGUAAAAAGAUAGUCUGCAGAAUGGGAGAAAAUUUUGCAACUUAUAUAUCUGAUAAGGGAUUUGAAUCUAGAGUACAUAAAGAACUCUUGCAACUCAACAGUAAAAGGACAAAUAACCCAACUUAAAAGUAGGCAAAGGAUUUGAUUAGACAUUUCUCCUAAGAAGACAAGCAAAUGGCUAAUAAGUACAUGAAAAAAUGCUCACAAUAGGCCGGGUGCAGUGCUCACGCCUGUAAUCCCAGCACUUUGGGAGGCCAAGGUGGGCGGAUCAUGAGGUAAGGAGUUUGAGACCAGCCUGGCCAAUAUGGUGACACCCCAUCUCUACUAAAAGUACAAAAAUUAGCCAGGUGUGGUGGCGGACGCCUGCAGUCCCAGCUAUUUGGGAGGCUGAGGCAGAAGAAUCGCUUGAACCCAGGAGGCAGAGGUUGCAGUGAACCGAGAUCACGCCACUGCACUCCAGCCUAGGAAACAGAGUGAGACUCUGUCUCAAAAAAAAAAAAAAUGCUCAAAAUAAUUAGCCAUUAAGACAAUGCAAACCAAAACCACAAUGGGAUACCAAUUUACACCAAAUAAAGUGACUAUAAUAAAAAAGACAGAUAAUAACAGAUGUUGGUGCAGAUAUAAAGAUAUUGGAACCUGUAUACAUUGCCGGUGGGAAUGUAAAAGUUGAAGCUGGAAAGGUUUGGGGGAAAUGAGGAGUGGCUGCUAAUAGGUAUAGUUUUCUUCUUUGGGGAUGAUGAAAAUGUUCUAAAAUUGAUUGUGAUGGUUGCACAACUCUAUGAAUAUAUUAAAACUUUU
rnacentral:lncRNA from 10 species